rnacentral:rRNA from 1 species
AAGCCUUGACAUUGAUUCCAUCUGGUAGAGAUACCGGAGUGCUAGUUUACUAGAACAUGAAAAC